rnacentral:tRNA from 1 species
GGCCCCGUAGUUUAACGGAUAAAACAGCGGUUUCCUAAAUCGCCGAUCCGGGUUCGAUUCCCGGCGGGGCUA